rnacentral:rRNA from 1 species
CGAACGCUGGCGGCAGGCUUAACACAUGCAAGUCGAACGCCCCGCAAGGGGAGUGGCAGACGGGUGAGUAACGCGUGGGAACAUACCCAACUCUACGGAAUAACUCAGGGAAACUUGUGCUAAUACCGUAUACGCCCUUUGGGGGAAAGAUUUAUCGGAGUUGGAUUGGCCCGCGUUGGAUUAGCUAGUUGGUGGGGUAAAGGCCUACCAAGGCGACGAUCCAUAGCUGGUCUGAGAGGAUGAUCAGCCACAUUGGGACUGAGACACGGCCCAAACUCCUACGGGAGGCAGCAGUGGGGAAUAUUGGACAAUGGGCGCAAGCCUGAUCCAGCCAUGCCGCGUGUGUGAUGAAGGCCUUAGGGUUGUAAAGCACUUUCACCGGAGAAGAUAAUGACGGUAUCCGGAGAAGAAGCCCCGGCUAACUUCGUGCCAGCAG